CUACUCUGUGGCUGGGGCCUGCACAAUUCACUGGUGAAUGAAUGAAUGAAGGACUCCUCCCUCUUAACAGAGAGGAGCACGCCUGCUACCUGGCGCCCGCCAGCUCAUGGACUGCCUGGGGACACUCCAGGGCCUGACCUGCUGAGCCUGGGCCACCACCCGCAGAAAGGGACUGACGACUGGGUCGUCAGAGAAGAGUCGCUGGCAGAAACUGCUGGCUUGCUUCUGCACCAGGGGUGGCCUCCAGAUAACUGGGCCCAAGAGGGUGCUAUCACUGAAAGGAGCUGCACGCGGGCCCAGGGCCAUGGCGGAAGAGGAAGCCUGGCAGGUGGAGAUGAGGCGGAGGCCCUGGGUAAAGAGGGAAGCAGAGACACAGCCCGGGACCACCUGGCACAGUUACGCAGGCUGUGCACUGCACAAGUCUAGAGCAUUCCAACAACUCAGACUAUAGCAGCCGAACCUCCCAGAGAAAGCAGACCCAGUUCUUUGGCCUUUGACCCUCGCCUCCCCCUUCACCAUUCAGCAUGUAUUCAGUCACUCAGUUGUGUCUGAUUCUUUGAGACCCCACGGACUGUAGCCCACCAGGCUUCCCGUGUCCUUGGGAUUUCCCAGGCAAAAACAUUGGAGUGGGUUGCCAUUUCCUUCUCCAGGGUAUCUUUCCGACCCAGGGACCGAGCCUGCAUCUCUUGCAGAUUCUUUACCACUAGCACCACCGGGGAUUUCACCAUUCGGAGACCUGGAUGAAUGAAUCCCUAAUCACAGUCACUGGGUCCUGCUGCCUCUGGGUGGGAGGUUAGAGGCAAGCUUCCGGAGCUCAUUCUAACACACCCGGCCCCACCCUGCCUGGAUGCCAGCCAGCACCAGGGCCAACAACCCCCUGCGUUACUGUGCAGAGCGGGUGUGGUUUCCUGGUGACCCAGCCAGACAUCCGUCCCUGAGCUGGUGAAGCUGGAGCUGGGGCUACAGCCCCGCCUGGAUACCUUCCCCGCCCUUGCCUGUGCUGCCCCAGGACCAGGCAGCAGACCUGGCAAAUAGAAUGAUACAGGGCCCUGGGGAGAUCUGAACCGCAGGUCAACAAAGAGCAAGCACUUUUUCAGGACAAGUAUGUCCCAGGAGAAGACUCCUGAGAGUCCCUUGGACUUCAAGGAGAUCAAACCAGUCCAUCCUAAAGGAAAUCAAUCCUGAAUAUUCACUAGGAGGACUGAAGCUGAAGCUCCAAUGCUUUGGCCACCUGAUGCAAAGAGCCAACUCGUUUGAAGAGACUCUGAUCCUGGGAAAGAUUGAGGGCAGGAGGAGAAGGUGGCAACAGAAGAUCAGAUGGUUGGAUGGCAUCACCAACUCGAUGGACAUGAGUUUGAACAAGUUCCGGGACUUGGUGAUGGACAGGGAGGCCUGGUGUGCUGCAGUCUGUGGAGUCCCAAAGAGUGGGACACAGCCGAGCGACUGAACAACGUCCCAGGUAAUAUUUAGAACAAACGUGUGCCAAAAAAUG
rnacentral:lncRNA from 1 species